rnacentral:rRNA from 1 species
AUUGAACGCUGGCGGCAGGCCUAACACAUGCAAGUCGAGCGGAUGAAGGGAGCUUGCUCCUGGAUUCAGCGGCGGACGGGUGAGUAAUGCCUAGGAAUCUGCCUGGUAGUGGGGGAUAACGUCCGGAAACGGGCGCUAAUACCGCAUACGUCCUGAGGGAGAAAGUGGGGGACCUUCGGACCUCACGCUAUCAGAUGAGCCUAGGUCGGAUUAGCUAGUUGGUGGGGUAAAGGCCUACCAAGGCGACGAUCCGUAACUGGUCUGAGAGGAUGAUCAGUCACACUGGAACUGAGACACGGUCCAGACUCCUACGGGAGGCAGCAGUGGGGAAUAUUGGACAAUGGGCGAAAGCCUGAUCCAGCCAUGCCGCGUGUGUGAAGAAGGUCUUCGGAUUGUAAAGCACUUUAAGUUGGGAGGUAGGGCAGUAAGUUAAUACCUUGCUGUUUUGACGUUACCAACAGAAUAAGCACCGGCUAACUUCGUG